CAUGAAUUCGUGGUAUAGCGUUAC
rnacentral:siRNA from 1 species